AUUGAACGCUGGCGGCAGGCCUAACACAUGCCAGUCGAGCGGAUGAAGGGAGCUUGCUCCUGGAUUCAGCGGCGAACGGGUGAGUAAUGCCUAGGAAUCUGCCUGGUAGUGGGGGAUAACGUCCGGAAACGGGCGCUAAUACCGCAUACGUCCUGAGGGAGAAAGUGGGGGAUCUUCGGACCUCACGCUAUCAGAUGAGCCUAGGUCGGAUUAGCUAGUUGGUGGGGUAAAGGCCUACCAAGGCGACGAUCCGUAACUGGUCUGAGAGGAUGAUCAGUCACACUGGAACUGAGACACGGUCCAGACUCCUACGGGAGGCAGCAGUGGGGAAUAUUGGACAAUGGGCGAAAGCCUGAUCCAGCCAUGCCGCGUGUGUGAAGAAGGUCUUCGGAUUGUAAAGCACUUUAAGUUGGGAGGAAGGGCAGUAAGUUAAUACCUUGCUGUUUUGACGUUACCAACAGAAUAAGCACCGGCUAACUUCGUG
rnacentral:rRNA from 1 species